rnacentral:rRNA from 1 species
UACGAAGGGGGCUAGCGUUGUUCGGAAUUACUGGGCGUAAAGCGCACGUAGGCGGAUAUUUAAGUCAGGGGUGAAAUCCCAGAGCUCAACUCUGGAACUGCCUUUGACACUGGGUAUCUAGAGUAUGGAAGAGGUGAGUGGAAUUCCGAGUGUAGAGGUGAAAUUCGUAGAUAUUCGGAGGAACACCAGUGGCGAAGGCGGCUCACUGGUCCAUUACUGACGCUGAGGUGCGAAAGCGUGGGGAGCAAACAGG